rnacentral:rRNA from 1 species
GAGUGGACAUGCGCCGACAAUACACGGGGCUAAGCUGGACACCGAAGCGGCGGGAUUUUAAUUCAUUAGAAUCGGUAGGGGAGCUUCCCAUGGGCGGAGAAGCCGGAGGGCGACCGACGGUGGAGCGCAUGGGAGUGAGAAUGCUGGCAUGAGUAGCGAGAGACGAGAGAGUAACUCGUCCGCCGUGAACCCGAGGUUUCCUGGGCAAGGCUAAUCCUCCCAGGGUCAGUCGGGGGCUAAGGCGAGGCCGGUAGGCGUAGCCGACGCGCAGCAGGCAGACAUUCCUGCACCGCGCACGCGGCGCUACGACCGACGGGGCGACGGAUGGGGGUGGCUCGGCGGGGUUCUGGACGUCCCCGUGAUGGAGCGCGGCCCGCGGACCAGGGAAAUCCGGUCCGCAGAAGGGCGAGGCUCCGGACGAAGCGACUGAGCGAAGCGAGUGAGCCCGAGGUCCCUAGAAAAACCCCUAGGCAGGCGCGUGCGCGCCCGUACCGCAAACCGACACAGGUGGGUGGGUAGAACAUACCGAGGCGAUCGGGUCAACCAUGGUCAAGGAACUCGGCACAAUGGCCCCGUAACUUCGGGAGAAGGGGUGCCCGCGCGUACGUGAACCGGCUUGCCCGGGGAGCGGAGGCGGGCCGCAGUGGAGAGGCCCAAGCGACUGUUUACCAAAAACACAGGACUCUGCAGAAGCCGCAAGGCGACGUAUAGGGUCUGACGCCUGCCCGGUGCCGGAAGGUCACGCGGAGGAGUUAGCCGAUUCGGCGAAGCCCCGAAGCCAAGCCCCGGUAAACGGCGGCCGUAACUAUAACGGUCCUAAGGUAGCGAAAUUCCUUGUCGGGUAAGUUCCGACCUGCACGAAAGGCGCAACGACUUGGGCGCUGUCUCGACCAUGGACCCGGUGAAAUUGCACUGGUCGUGAAGAUGCGACUUACCCGCGGAAGGACGGAAAGACCCCGUGAACCUUCACUGCAGCUUGGCAUUGGCCGCUGGUCCCGCGUGUAGAGGAUAGGCAGGAGGCACAGAUCCGGAGGCGCCAGCCCCCGGGGAGCCGCCCUUGGAAUACUGCCCUCGCGCGACCGGCGUCCUAACCCGAGGCCGUCAACCGGCUCGGGGACCGUGCCAGGCGGGCAGUUUGACUGGGGCGGUCGCCUCCUAAAGGGUAACGGAGGCGCGCGAAGGUCCGCUCGGGACGGUCGGCAACCGUCCUUUUGAAUGCAAGAGUACAAGCGGGCUUGACUGCGAGGCCCACAAGCCGAGCAGGUGCGAAAGCAGGCUCUAGUGAUCCGGCGGCCCCGAGUGGGUGGGCCGUCGCUCAACGGAUAAAAGGUACUCCGGGGAUAACAGGCUGAUCUUGCCCAAGAGUCCACAUCGACGGCAAGGUUUGGCACCUCGAUGUCGGCUCAUCGCAUCCUGGGGCUGGAGCAGGUCCCAAGGGUACGGCUGUUCGCCGUUUAAAGCGGUACGCGAGCUGGGUUCAGAACGUCGUGAGACAGUUCGGUCCCUAUCCUCCGUGGGCGCAGGAGAAUCGAUGGAGGCUGCCCCCAGUACGAGAGGACCGGGGUGGACGCACCUCCGGUGAACCGGUUGUCGACCAACGGCACGGCCGGGUAGCCGCGUGCGGCGCGGAUAACCGCUGAAGGCAUCUAAGCGGGAAGCCGUUCCAGGGAUUAGUUCUCCUUCCGGUAAGGGCCCAGGUAGACUACCUGGUCGAUAGACGGCAGGUGCAAGGGCGGCGACGUCCUCAGCCGAGCCGCACUAAUCGCCCGAGCUCUUCCGGAA